rnacentral:rRNA from 1 species
GAUGAACGCUGGCGGCGUGCCUAAUACAUGCAAGUCGAGCGAACGGACGAGAAGCUUGCUUCUCUGAUGUUAGCGGCGGACGGGUGGGUAACACGUGGAUAACCUACCUAUAAGACUGGGAUAACUUCGGGAAACCGGAGCUAAUACCGGAUGAUAUUUUGAACCGCAUGGUUCAAAAGUGAAAGACGGUCUUGCUGUCACUUAUAGAUGGAUCCGCGCUGCAUUAGCUAGUUGGUAAGGUAACGGCUUACCAAGGCAACGAUGCAUAGCCGACCUGAGAGGGUGAUCGGCCACACUGGAACUGAGACACGGUCCAGACCCCUACGGGAGGCAGCAGUAGGGAAUCUUCCGCAAUGGGCGAAAGCCUGACGGAGCAACGCCGCGUGAGUGAUGAAGGUCUUCGGAUCGUAAAACUCUGUUAUUAGGGAAGAACAUAUGUGUAAGUAACUGUGCACAUCUUGACGGUACCUAAUCAGAAAGCCACGGCUAACUACGUG